rnacentral:rRNA from 1 species
UACGGAGGGUGCGAGCGUUAAUCGGAAUUACUGGGCGUAAAGCGUACGCAGGCGGUUUGUUAAGCGAGAUGUGAAAGCCCCGGGCUCAACCUGGGAAUUGCAUUUCGAACUGGCGAACUAGAGUCUUGUAGAGGGGGUAGGAAUUCCAGGUGUAGCGGUGAAAUAGCGUAGAGAUCUGGAGGAAUACCGGUGGCGAAGGCGGCCCCCUCGGACAAAGACUGACGCUCAGGCACGAAAGCGUGGGGAGCAAACAGGAUUAGAUACCCCCUGUAGU